rnacentral:rRNA from 1 species
GUCUACGGCCAUGCCACCCUGAACAAGCCCGAUCCCAUCUGAUCUUGGAAGCUAAGCAGGGUUGGGCCUGGUUAGUACUUGGAUGGGCGACUUACCUAGGAAGACUAGGUACUGUAGGCA